UACAGAGGUCUCAAGCGUUGUUCGGAUUCAUUGGGCGUAAAGGGUGCGUAGGCGGCGCGGUAAGUCGGGUGUGAAAUCUCGGAGCUUAACUCCGAAACUGCAUUCGAUACUGCCGUGCUUGAGGACUGGAGAGGAGACUGGAAUUUACGGUGUAGCGGUGAAAUGCGUAGAUAUCAGGAGGAAGACCAGUGGCGAAGGCGGGUCUCUGGACAGUUCCUGACGCUGAGGCACGAAGGCCAGGGGAGCAAACGGG
rnacentral:rRNA from 1 species